rnacentral:rRNA from 1 species
UCCGACCUCAGAUCGGACGAGAUUACCCGCUGAAUUUAAGCAUAUAACUAAGCGGAGGAAAAGAAACUAACAAGGAUUUCCCCAGUAACGGCGAGUGAAGCGGAAAGAGCCCAGCACCGAAUCCCUCAGUGUCAUGCUGACGGGAACUGUGGUGUGUGGGACGCCACCAGUCGCAUCAGUGGACGCCGAAGUCCUCCUGAUCGAGGCUUCACCCAGAGCGGGUGUAAGGCCUUUGCAGGUGCCUCACUGUGCGGCCGCGAGCGUCNCNGGAGUCGGGUUGUUUGGGAAUGCAGCCCAAAGCGGG